rnacentral:rRNA from 1 species
CCUACGGGUGGCAGCAGUGAGGAAUAUUGGUCAAUGGCCGCAGGGCUGAACCAGCCAAGUCGCGUGAGGGAUGACGGUCCUAUGGAUUGUAAACCUCUUUUGUCAGGGAGCAGAGGUCCGGACGUGUCCGGGCCGGGAGAGUACCCGGAGAAAAAGCAUCGGCUAACUCCGUGCCAGCAGCCGCGGUAAUACGGAGGAUGCGAGCGUUAUCCGGAUUUAUUGGGGUUAAAGGGUGCGUAGGCGGGCAUUUAAGCCGGCGGUCAAAUGUCGGGGCUCAACCCCGGCCUGCCGUCGGAACUGGGUGCCUUGAGUGGGCGAGAAGUAUGCGGAAUGCGUGGUGUAGCGGUGAAUGCAUAGAUAUCACGCAGAACCCCGAUUGCGAAGGCAGCAUACCGGCGCCCUACUGACGCUGAGGCACGAAAGUGCGGGUAUCGAACAGGAUUAGAUACCCUAGUAGUC